GGCGAACGGGUGAGUAACGCGUGAGGAACCUGCCUCAAAGAGGGGGACAACAGUUGGAAACGACUGCUAAUACCGCAUAAGCCCACGACCCGGCAUCGGGAAGAGGGAAAAGGAGCAAUCCGCUUUGAGAUGGCCUCGCGUCCGAUUAGCUAGUUGGUGAGGUAACGGCCCACCAAGGCGACGAUCGGUAGCCGGACUGAGAGGUUGAACGGCCACAUUGGGACUGAGACACGGCCCAGACUCCUACGGGAGGCAGCAGUGGGGAAUAUUGCACAAUGGGGGAAACCCUGAUGCAGCGACGCCGCGUGGAGGAAGAAGGUCUUCGGAUCGUAAACUCCUGUUGUUGAGGAAGAUAAUGACGGUACUCAACAAGGAAGUGACGGCUAACUACGUGCCAGCAGCCGCGGUAAAACGUAGGUCACAAGCGUUGUCCGGAAUUACUGGGUGUAAAGGGAGCGCAGGCGGGAAGACAAGUUGGAAGUGAAAUCCAUGGGCUCAACCCAUGAACUGCUUUCAAAACUGUUUUUCUUGAGUAGUGCAGAGGUAGGCGGAAUUCCCGGUGUAGCGGUGGAAUGCGUAGAUAUCGGGAGGAACACCAGUGGC
rnacentral:rRNA from 1 species